rnacentral:rRNA from 1 species
UUCUGAGUUAAUACCUCGGGAGGAUGACGGUACCUGAAGAAUAAGCACCGGCUAACUACGUGCCAGCAGCCGCGGUAAUACGUAGGGUGCAAGCGUUAAUCGGAAUUACUGGGCGUAAAGCGUGCGCAGGCGGUUUUGUAAGACAGAGGUGAAAUCCCCGGGCUCAACCUGGGAACUGCCUUUGUGACUGCAAGGCUUGAGUGCGGCAGAGGGGGAUGGAAUUCCGCGUGUAGCAGUGAAAUGCGUAGAUAUGCGGAGGAACACCGAUGGCGAAGGCAAUCCCCUGGGCCUGCACUGACGCUCAUGCACGAAAGCGUGGGGAGCAAACAGGAUUAGAUACCCUGGUAGUCCACGCCCUAAACGAUGUCAACUGGUUGUUGGGAAGG